UACAGAGGUCUCAAGCGUUGUUCGGAUUCAUUGGGCGUAAAGGGUGCGUAGGCGGCGAGGUAAGUCAGAUGUGAAAUCCCGGAGCUUAACUCCGGAACUGCAUUUGAUACUGCUUUGCUUGAGGACUGGAGAGGAGAUCGGAAUUCACGGUGUAGCAGUGAAAUGCGUAGAUAUCGUGAGGAAGGCCAGUGGCGAAGGCGGAUCUCUGGACAGUUCCUGACGCUGAGACGCGAAAGCGUGGGGAGCGAACAGG
rnacentral:rRNA from 1 species